rnacentral:rRNA from 1 species
UACAGAGGGUGCGAGCGUUAAUCGGAAUUACUGGGCGUAAAGCGCACGUAGUCGGCUUUGCAAGUCGGUUGUGAAAUCCCCGGGCUCAACCUGGGAACUGCAUCCGAGACUGCAUUGCUAGAGUAUGGGAGAGGAAAGCGGAAUUUCUGGUGUAGCAGUGAAAUGCGUAGACAUCAGAAGGAACAUCAGUGGCGAAGGCGGCUUUCUGGACCAAUACUGACGAUCAGGUGCGAAAGCGUGGGGAGCAAACAGG